GUCGACGGCAGCGCGGGGCAACCUGGCGGCGAGUGGCGAACGGGUGAGUAAUAUAUCGGAACGUACCCUGGAGUGGGGGAUAACGUAGCGAAAGUUACGCUAAUACCGCAUACGAUCUAAGGAUGAAAGUGGGGGAUCGCAAGACCUCAUGCUCCUGGAGCGGCCGAUAUCUGAUUAGCUAGUUGGUGGGGUAAAGGCCUACCAAGGCAUCGAUCAGUAGCUGGUCUGAGAGGACGACCAGCCACACUGGAACUGAGACACGGUCCAGACUCCUACGGGAGGCAGCAGUGGGGAAUUUUGGACAAUGGGCGAAAGCCUGAUCCAGCAAUGCCGCGUGAGUGAAGAAGGCCUUCGGGUUGUAAAGCUCUUUUGUCAGGGAAGAAACGGUGGGUUCUAAUACAGCCUGCUAAUGACGGUACCUGAAGAAUAAGCACCGGCUAACUACGUGCCAGCAGCCGCGGUAAUACGUAGGGUGCAAGCGUUAAUCGGAAUUACUGGGCGUAAAGCGUGCGCAGGCGGUUUUGUAAGUCUGUCGUGAAAUCCCCGGGCUCAACCUGGGAAUGGCGAUGGAGACUGCAAGGCUAGAGUUUGGCAGAGGGGGGUAGAAUUCCACGUGUAGCAGUGAAAUGCGUAGAUAUGUGGAGGAACACCGAUGGCGAAGGCAGCCCCCUGGGUCAAGACUGACGCUCAUGCACGAAAGCGUGGGGAGCAAACAGGAUUAGAUACCCUGGUAGUCCACGCCCUAAACGAUGUCUACUAGUUGUCGGGUCUUAAUUGACUUGGUAACGCAGCUAACGCGUGAAGUAGACCGCCUGGGGAGUACGGUCGCAAGAUUAAAACUCAAAGGAAUUGACGGGGACCCGCACAAGCGGUGGAUGAUGUGGAUUAAUUCGAUGCAACGCGAAAAACCUUACCUACCCUUGACAUGGCUGGAAUCCUUGAGAGAUCAGGGAGUGCUCGAAAGAGAACCAGUACACAGGUGCUGCAUGGCUGUCGUCAGCUCGUGUCGUGAGAUGUUGGGUUAAGUCCCGCAACGAGCGCAACCCUUGUCAUUAGUUGCUACGAAAGGGCACUCUAAUGAGACUGCCGGUGACAAACCGGAGGAAGGUGGGGAUGACGUCAAGUCCUCAUGGCCCUUAUGGGUAGGGCUUCACACGUCAUACAAUGGUACAUACAGAGCGCCGCCAACCCGCGAGGGGGAGCUAAUCGCAGAAAGUGUAUCGUAGUCCGGAUUGUAGUCUGCAACUCGACUGCAUGAAGUUGGAAUCGCUAGUAAUCGCGGAUCAGCAUGUCGCGGUGAAUACGUUCCCGGGUCUUGUACACACCG
rnacentral:rRNA from 1 species